AUGAUUCUAUGGUUAUUUAUAGAAACGAUAUGCUCGAGAAUGAAGAGAACUUUGACGGAAAAUAAAAGGAAAGGAAAGAAAAGAAAAGAACAAAAAAGAAAAAAGAAAAAGGAACGUAGAGAAGCACUUGGAGAAGAAGAAAAAUAUACCAGAGCUUUUAAGGAUGGGCCGAGUGGAAUUUCGUUUUUCAAAUGUCAAUGAAGGAACUCGCUUCGCGUUUGGAUAUGCUGACGUCAAGCGUCGUACUCCAAAAUCGAUGCUAAAAAUACGAAAAAUUUUCCUUCAAAGAAAUCAAAGGCUGAAAAAAGAAUAAAACAAAUAAUGGAACACUUUCAAUUCAAUGACAAAAAGAAUUCCAUAUCUCUGUAUUUAAAACUCGAAAAAAAAUAUGAUAUAUAAAUACGCGAAUCCCUUUUUCCUAUUUAGAUAGUAUAGCUAGGAACGAAUUUUCAAUUUCUUGUAUAAUUUUAAAUAUCUUUUGAAAGAAGGAAUAUGAAACGGAUGCUUCGAAAAAGAUCCUAGAAUAUUUCUGUUCUAUCACACGAUAAAUACCGAUACGGCUGCCUAGUCUCGUUAAAUUAAGUUCAAUGGAUCGAUAUUCGAUGGAUCGUAUCUACUACAAAUAGUUAAGUCCAUUCCGAUCGAUUCAGGCAAAUAUUUUGGACCUAAAGUAACAUCCGAUAAAAUUGUCAAGUCUGAAAACCUUUAAAAGGACUGAUACAACCGUUAAUCUUAUUCAUUCUAUUUUUUUUUUUUCUUAUUGUUGUAGCAGAAGAAGAGGAAAGGUUGUAACAACAACAGGUUUGAAGUUACGAUAAGAUAUCGUCCUCGCCACGGCACAAACGUUUAUCCUUGCACUUACUGGAACUAAAGAAGCGCAAGUGAAUAACGAGUGAACGGGGAUAAAAGGAGGAAGAGAGAAGGUUCUUCUUCGACGGUGAAGCACGUCACGGCGUUUAACCUAUCGUUCGUGCGAAUGUGCGAAGUAUACAUUGGUUGGCACUGGCACUCGGAGGUAGUAGUGGUAGUGAUGGUGGUGGUGGCGAUAAGAGGGGGUAGAGUAGCUUAGAGAAUAAGUGGGGAUAGAUAGAAGCGCGAAACAGUGGCGCGAGAGUGAGCUUGGUACUGCGAUAGAGAACGAGUAAAAGAGAGAGAGAAAGAAAAAGGAAAGAAAGAAAAGAGAGAAAAGAGAGGAUAGAGAAAGGAAAGGGAGAGAAAAAAGGAGAGAGAGAGAGAGAAGAGAGAGAGAGAAGAGGGGAUAAAAUAGAGUAGAGAGUGACGAGGGUAGCCGAAAGGGUAGCCGAGAGGGUAGGCAAGAGGAUACAGAAGUAGUGGGGGAUGGAAAAGGGGCAAGAGGGUAGGAAAGGCCGGCCGGCCAGUCGUGCUGUGGCGGCAACUUGGAGAUCGUCGCUUAUCCGUACUCUUCCCUGAACGACGAUGUUUUCAAACAACGAUCCUUUGGUUCGUCCUAUCGACAAUUUUCGAGGACGGAUCGUCGAAAUCACGAGGGAUGAAACACCUCGAUGGACGGUCGAUGAGUCUCAUCGAACAGCCACCCUCUCCUCUACUGUCGCCGUUUAGGAGGAGACAGGACAAGGAGAACAAGGAAAAAAGAAGAGAGGAGAGGAUAACGCGACGAGAAGAAAACAACGUCUCUCUGUCUUUUUAAAUCGAUCUUAUUUUCUCGCGAUCUCGGUUGCUGAUUCUCGAGUCCACGCCUACGUGAAAGAGUGAGAGAGAGAGAGAGAGAGAGAGAAGAGAGAGAGAGACAGAGACGGAGAGAAAGAGAGAGGGUGAUCUCCGCGGAGGCUGCAGUUGCACGGCAAUUGCGCGAUUACUUUUCGCGACGGCUUGCUUGAGUCAGAGAGGAAGGAGAAGAGAGAGAGAGGGAGGAAGAGAAAGUGGGAGAAAGAAAGAAAUAGAAAUAAAAAAGGCAGGAAGAGGGGAGUAGCAACGUCGAAGAGGAAUGUGUGUCAGGACACUCGAUACUCGACGAUUCUCUCGUGACUGGACCAAGGAUAAGUUGGA